CCUUAGAUUCCUCUCCCAGAAUACGCUGAUGACAUGGGAGAUGGGGAGCAGGAAAGCUCUGUCAGGAUCUCUCUUCAGCUGUGGUCAGAAAAAAAAUAUUUUCUUUCCCUGAAAGCUGUAAAUAGAUGGGUUUAUCUCUGGUCAUAAUAAACCACCACCACCCCCCUAAAUUUCUUUUUUGCCCUUAAAUUUGCCCAUGUCUCUUCCUUUCUUUGUGUAUUAAUCAGUAUUUGAUUUAAGUCAUCUUUUAUGUGAAAUUUUUAAAAAGAUCCACUUGAUCUUAGAUACAUCUUCUAAAUGUGAUUGGAUGGGAUUCACAUUAGUAUUAGAGACCAACAUGGUCAAUGGAUGUUUAAUUCUGAUAAGGUUUCAAUUUAUGAAUAUAUACAUAAUUCUUUGGUUUGAGAUUUUAUUUACCUCUUAUUGUUCUUCAUGGUA
rnacentral:lncRNA from 1 species